rnacentral:rRNA from 1 species
AAAUUGAAGAGUUUGAUCAUGGCUCAGAUUGAACGCUGGCGGCAGGCCUAACACAUGCAAGUCGAACGGUAACAGGAAGAAGCUUGCUGCUUUGCUGACGAGUGGCGGACGGGUGAGUAAUGUCUGGGAAACUGCCUGAUGGAGGGGGAUAACUACUGGAAACGGUAGCUAAUACCGCAUAACGUCGCAAGACCAAAGAGGGGGACCUUCGGGCCUCUUGCCAUCGGAUGUGCCCAGAUGGGAUUAGCUAGUAGGUGGGGUAACGGCUCACCUAGGCGACGAUCCCUAGCUGGUCUGAGAGGAUGACCAGCCACACUGGAACUGAGACACGGUCCAGACUCCUACGGGAG